rnacentral:rRNA from 1 species
CUACGGGGGGCUGCAGUGGGGAAUAUUGCGCAAUGGGGGAAACCCUGACGCAGCGACGCCGCGUGAGCGAAGAAGGCCUUAGGGUCGUAAAGCUCUGUUUUAAGGGACGAAUGUCGCGGGUAAUAAUACGAUCUGCGAAUGACGGUACCUUAAGAGGAAGCCCCGGCUAACUACGUGCCAGCAGCCGCGGUAAGACGUAGGGGGCGAGCGUUGUCCGGAAUUACUGGGCGUAAAGAGCACGUAGGCGGGAUUUUAAGUCAGGUGUGAAAGACCGUGGCUCAACCACGGGGUUGCACUUGAAACUGGGAUUCUUGAGGGCAGGAGAGGAAAGUGGAAUUCCUGGUGUAGCGGUGAAAUGCGUAGAAAUCAGGAGGAACACCGGUGGCGAAGGCGACUUUCUGGACUGACCCUGACGCUGAGGUGCGAAAGCGUGGGUAGCAAACAGGAUUAGAUACCCGUGUAGUC